AUUGAACGCUAGCGGCAUGCCUUACACAUGCAAGUCGAACGGCAGCACGGGGGCAACCCUGGUGGCGAGUGGCGAACGGGUGAGUAAUGCAUCGGAACGUGCCAUCGAUGGGGGAUAACUGCGCGAAAGCGUUGCUAAUACCGCAUACGACCUACGGGUGAAAGCAGGGGACCGCAAGGCCUUGCGUCGAUGGAGCGGCCGAUGCCGGAUUAGCUAGUUGGUGAGGUAAAGGCUCACCAAGGCGACGAUCCGUAGCUGGUCUGAGAGGACGACCAGCCACACUGGGACUGAGACACGGCCCAGACUCCUACGGGAGGCAGCAGUGGGGAAUCUUGGACAAUGGGCGAAAGCCUGAUCCAGCAAUGCCGCGUGUGGGAAGAAGGCCUUCGGGUUGUAAACCACUUUUGGCGGGAAAGAAAUGGUCUGUGCUAAUACCACGGAUUGAUGACGGUACCCGCAGAAUAAGCACCGGCUAACUACGUG
rnacentral:rRNA from 1 species